AUGUAUGGGUUUCACUAGAGUGGAUGGUCGUUGGACCAAGGGUCAUGGUGCUGCAGUGGAGGAAGAGGAGGAGGAGCGUGCUGAGGGGGAGGAUCCCUCAUCACCACCUGAGCCCAAACCGAGCCCUGACAUUCUUUUUGUAUCGGAGCCUAAGGUAGGACCUUCAGUUAGUGCACCUCCAUCUACAAGCCAUGCCAUGCCAUCAUCACCUAGAUUGGAGGAGGACG
rnacentral:lncRNA from 1 species